GCUCGGAAGGUAGGCGCGCCCGCAGCCGGGUGGGAGAUCUGAUAGACUCUUCCGGUGGCGGGACGCGCUCCGGCCGUGUGCACUUUCCGUGGGCAGAGCGCCACGACCGGUUCUCGGGCGGUCAGAAGGCGGCGGGGAUGGUAGGCGGGCGCCUCGGCGCUCGCUGGUAUAGCCCCGCCUGUCCCGAUCCGCUUGGGGACCGAGGAGCCGCCGUCGGCGUAGGCCGCCUCGCCCUCCUGGGAUGUUCGACUGGCAGAGACUGGGCAACCGUGUCUGSCGACUGCUUCCUGGGACGGACUGGGGUGGGCCCGCCGGCACAGGGUCGGUGGCGAAUCGGUCGGCCCUCCACCCGACCCGUCUUGAAACACGGACCAAGGAGUCUAACAUGCGCGCGAGUCGUUGGGUCGUACGAAACCCGAAGGCGAAGUGAAAGCGAGGGCCGUCUGUGACGUGCUCAGGUGGGAUCCCUGGUGGAAAGACCGGGGCGCACCACCGGCCCGUCUCGUCCGCGUCGUCGGUGAGGCGGAGCAUGAGCGUGCACGUUGGGACCCGAAAGAUGGUGAACUAUGCCUGAGUAGGACGAAGCCAGAGGAAACUCUGGUGGAGGUCCGCAGCGAUUCUGACGUGCAAAUCGAUCGUCAAACUUGGGUAUAGGGGCGAAAGACUAAUC
rnacentral:rRNA from 1 species